UGUGACGCUGACAUUGGCCUCCACCUGUUGUUCUCUGGGGGUGACACAGGUUGAGCAGAGGGUAUUGGAUGUGGCCACCUUUCCUUCCCAUGACAUUGGAGCGUUUUGCUUGUCAGGAUGACAGAACAGACUUCUCAGCUGUGAGAGCGCAAAUCCUGCAGACUGGAAUACAAUCUGAUUUCACUAGAAUUCAACAGCAGGUAAGAAAACAUUGAUUUCUCUGCCCAAAAUGCUCCACUUUGCUUUUCAAACCAGAGCAUUUCCAGCGCUGCUUUGCUUCCCACUCCUUCCCCUCUCUCUCACUGCUGACCCUCUCCCCUGCUUUGUAAUGCACCCCCCAGGGGCUCUGCCCAUCUCAAACAAUCCCAUUCCUGGUUUCUUCCCUUUCAUACCAUGCAGGGAUCUUUUUCGAGGCAACCCAGUGGAAUGACAUCACCCGUACUGCAUGGGUGUUGCUGAGGUUUUUUCCCAACGUUCUUGAAGAUUUUGAGGAAGCUGUUAGAAAGCAGAUUUUGUUUCCAAUUACUCUGCAGCUCCAUUCUAUGAAACGAGUCCAAAUUUAUGUUCUUUGUGGCUUAACCCUUCCUCAGGUCAUGCCAACACCACCAUUCUCCAGCCAUCCUCCUUGCCCUCUCUGGGAUGUGCACCCCUUGAGGAGCAGCAGGAAUGCACUACAGCUGUGCAUGGGUAAAGCAAGACAUGGAGGAUAUAGAAUAUUUGUUUUCUUGACUCUGUUCUCCAUUUCUGCAGUAAGUGCUGGGGUGCAUGUGGCUCAAAUGAAUUCAUGGGCCCUUUUUGCACAGCUGAUAGGACAGGUUUCUCUAUGAAGGAGCAGUGAAAAGAUUUAUGGCCUCAUCUUUUCUGUCUAAUUGAAUGGAUCAAGAUAAAAGGUCAAACGGACAAAGUAAUGGUGGUGAAGCACAGAAGUGUAGGAAGAACUGAGAUGCAUGAAGGUUAAUGCAAAUCUUGCCUGGUUUUGGCUUGCUUGUUUCCUUCCCUUCUGCUUAGCCAGCAUUUCUAAUUAUGAAACAAGCAGUGCAUUGGGAAAUGCCUCACCCCAGAGCACAAGCAGCAGGGAGAAAAUUCCUCUUCAUCCCUGUAGCGUUGGGGAUCUCCUGCUUGAAGCUGCAUGUUCUCAGCUGAUGACUUUUCCAAGUGAAGAUGCAGUAGCCCUGCAGUGCUGGGAUCACAGCCCUGGGAUCUGAACUGCAACACACUCUGUGCAAACCCCUCCUCAGCGCUCACACCCAUUUCUUCCCAUCCAUCACGUGGUUUUUCUGCACACUCUUACCCCUGUUUGGGACCCACAGAAGCAGAGCAGAAUGUUUUUGCUGCAGUUACUGACCCAGUGCUUUGUCUCAGUUUGUUUUUAAUGUCUCCUUGUAAUGAGAUUUCCUCCCUCCUCUGAGGCCCACUCUGGGAGAUCUCCUUGAGGGUGGUGAUGCACUGGAACAGGUUGCCCAAGGAGGCUGUGGAUGCCCCAUCCCUGCAGG